rnacentral:rRNA from 1 species
CUGGAGGUAUCAGAAGUGCGAAUGCUGACAUAAGUAACGAUAAAGCGGGUGAAAAGCCCGCUCGCCGGAAGACCAAGGGUUCCUGUCCAACGUUAAUCGGGGCAGGGUGAGUCGACCCCUAAGGCGAGGCCGAAAGGCGUAGUCGAUGGGAAACAGGUUAAUAUUCCUGUACUUGGUGUUACUGCGAAGGGGGGACGGAGAAGGCUAUGUUGGCCGGGCGACGGUUGUCCCGGUUUAAGCGUGUAGGCUGGUUUUCCAGGCAAAUCCGGAAAACUAAGGCUGAGGCGUGAUGACGAGGCACUACGGUGCUGAAGCAACAAAUGCCCUGCUUCCAGGAAAAGCCUCUAAGCAUCAGGUAACAUCAAAUCGUACCCCAAACCGACACAGGUGGUCAGGUAGAGAAUACCAAGGCGCUUGAGAGAACUCGGGUGAAGGAACUAGGCAAAAUGGUGCCGUAACUUCGGGAGAAGGCACGCUGAUAUGUAGGUGAAGUCCCUCGCGGAUGGAGCUGAAAUCAGUCGAAGAUACCAGCUGGCUGCAACUGUUUAUUAAAAACACAGCACUGUGCAAACACGAAAGUGGACGUAUACGGUGUGACGCCUGCCCGGUGCCGGAAGGUUAAUUGAUGGGGUCAGCGCAAGCGAAGCUCUUGAUCGAAGCCCCGGUAAACGGCGGCCGUAACUAUAACGGUCCUAAGGUAGCGAAAUUCCUUGUCGGGUAAGUUCCGACCUGCACGAAUGGCGUAAUGAUGGCCAGGCUGUCUCCACCCGAGACUCAGUGAAAUUGAACUCGCUGUGAAGAUGCAGUGUACCCGCGGCAAGACGGAAAGACCCCGUGAACCUUUACUAUAGCUUGACACUGAACAUUGAGCCUUGAUGUGUAGGAUAGGUGGGAGGCUUUGAAGUGUGGACGCCAGUCUGCAUGGAGCCGACCUUGAAAUACCACCCUUUAAUGUUUGAUGUUCUAACGUUGACCCGUAAUCCGGGUUGCGGACAGUGUCUGGUGGGUAGUUUGACUGGGGCGGUCUCCUCCUAAAGAGUAACGGAGGAGCACGAAGGUUGGCUAAUCCUGGUCGGACAUCAGGAGGUUAGUGCAAUGGCAUAAGCCAGCUUGACUGCGAGCGUGACGGCGCGAGCAGGUGCGAAAGCAGGUCAUAGUGAUCCGGUGGUUCUGAAUGGAAGGGCCAUCGCUCAACGGAUAAAAGGUACUCCGGGGAUAACAGGCUGAUACCGCCCAAGAGUUCAUAUCGACGGCGGUGUUUGGCACCUCGAUGUCGGCUCAUCACAUCCUGGGGCUGAAGUAGGUCCCAAGGGUAUGGCUGUUCGCCAUUUAAAGUGGUACGCGAGCUGGGUUUAGAACGUCGUGAGACAGUUCGGUCCCUAUCUGCCGUGGGCGCUGGAGAACUGAGGGGGGCUGCUCCUAGUACGAGAGGACCGGAGUGGACGCAUCACUGGUGUUCGGGUUGUCAUGCCAAUGGCACUGCCCGGUAGCUAAAUGCGGAAGAGAUAAGUGCUGAAAGCAUCUAAGCACGAAACUUGCCCCGAGAUGAGUUCUCCCUGACUCCUUGAGAGUCCUGAAGGAACGUUGAAG